AUUCCGUCAACCUGUUUCCUCUCUGUGUCCCAGACAUGCUGAGCGUAGCCUGGGCCCGCAUGAGUGCCGUGCUGCUUCCCCUGCCCAGGAUCUCUUCCCCCUGCUCUCUGCCCAUGGAAGGCCCACCUGUUCCGUAGGCACUGCCAGGAGCCGGCCUGGGCCAUCUUGGAGGAUUUGAGGCAUUUAGAAGGACACGGCCACCCCACCUGACCUUGCCGCUUAGGAGCUCUGUGACCUCAGUAACACAUGUAAAUUUUGCUUUGUAAGAUGCCCUCUCUAUAUAAUUUAGCCCUCUGAUUGUUUCGUGAGUUAGUUUUGUUUCCCCAGGUAACUGGCUGGCUGGUUGAUGAUUGAUCGAUGGAUUGAUUGACUUCAUCAGUCAACAAGCCUCGGCAUAAGUUUGAACCACGUGAAGUUGCUGAUAAAUUUGACUGCUUUUGACCUACAGAGAAAUGGCAAUUUCCUAUGUAAACCUAAUAAGUAUUCUAAAAAUAUUUUGUUAUUCUUUCCACUCAACUUAGUCCAAUUCUCCAACGCAGGGGAAUCCAACAUCUGGGAUAAGAGUCAAAAUUCUGGUGGAGGGGGAAGACUCUGGAUCUUCUACCAACAUACGCAAACUGUGCACUGAAGUCAAGUGCUGAUGACGUGAGUUGAGUCCAGGGGAUGCAGGCCAAGGAUUGUCGGUCACAGCUGCAAACUUCCCCUUCAUAUCCUUGAGCUGAUUAGUCCCCAGAUCAACCAAUAAAGUCAAGUCAUAUGCUUUGUUCA
rnacentral:lncRNA from 12 species